CAGGCACUGCUGGCACGAGCAGGGCUGGCCCGAGCUGGCGCCCACGGGCCACGACUGCGACUUGGGGAUGGAGCCGACGCAAACAUGCUGCCUGUCUGCUCUGUGGAGGGCUUUGUGCUGAGCGGUCAUUCAAAAUGAACAUAACCACGUGACAACCCCAGCCAGGGCGUUCAGCUCCACGGCCCGGUGCCAGACUCCCUCCCAUCGCCCAUCACCCGCCUGCCACUCCUAUUCAGGCAGGUGGAGGUGGCAGCCUGGAGCAGCUCCAGAGGGACGAUGGGAGGAGCCCAGAGAGGGACAGGUGCUUGGCCAGGGUGACAGAGCAAGGAUGCAGCUACAC